rnacentral:tRNA from 1 species
GCAGUGGUGGUUCAGUGGUAGAAUUCUUGCUUUUCGAGUGAGAGAUCUGAUUUCAAUUCCCAGCCAGCA